rnacentral:lncRNA from 1 species
AUGCCCCUCUGCUUCCUGAUGGCCGAGGUGUGGUGCAGACACAGCCUUGCUCCUAACGCUGGGGACAAGCAGCCGGGCCAGGCUUGGCUUCAGGCAAUGCUGUUGCACCAGGAGCCUUUCCCAGGACAAACAGCCCGAGUGGUGACUGCUGGGGACACCUGCAGCUCUGGGCACCCUGUGCCAAGCAGGAAGCAGAGCAGACAUGGAGCCAGGCGGGGAGAGAGCAUGGAAAGGAGGGUAAAAAUGCCCGUGGAUGCGUGGCGUGCUGCCAGCCAGCCUGACAUUCGCUGCAGGGUUUUCCAGACUGGUAGAGGCUUGAAGUGAGGAGGGGAUGUGUGUGUCCCCUGGAGGUGCUGAUUCAGCAGAGAAAAAGAAAACACCCCCCAUUUUGCUGAGCCCCAGCAGGGUGAACAGAGGGAAAAGGUGCUCCAGGGCAGGAAGAAACUGUGAAGAAAUAGGUUUGCAAACUCCAUUUAUACUGGAUUGUUUGAAAAUUGUCCUGUGAGCUGCCUUCUGGGGACAGCUGUCCCGCUCUGAAGGAGGGAGAGCAGAGAUGUGUGUGGGGAGAAGCUGCGUGUGGGGCUCUCAGGGCUGGGCCAGGACUCAGGUUGCAAUCGCCUCUGGUUGCUCUCGGGCAUGGGGAGGGCAGGGAGAGGCUGGGCAUGUGGAAGAAAGACUCCAUGAAACUCUUCUUCCCUGUAGGAGCUACAUCUCCCUCUAAAAAAAAAAAUAAAAAUCUCAGUUGACCAGAACCA